CCUUGGGGCUUUCCCGGUGCAUCGGUCCUGUCCGUGUGAGUGACAGAUCGGCUUGGCCAGCACCCCGUUCACCAGCAAGAGGCAGCAAUAUUUCCAGGAGACUGCACGCACAACAGCUCUGUGACAAGAAAAGGAAAGUAAUCGGCCUGGUGCUCUUAUUCACAAGUUCUGUCAAGUUAAGCUGUCAGAAGCCCAGAGAUGUGAAGGAAAAUCAAGAAAAAAGAAAAAGAGUACAAAGAGAUUGUGGCCGCCUGGAAGACCUGAUGCCGAAUCCAGUAGAAAUCAAGAGACAGUUUUCUCUGAGCAUUUGUCAUGCAAGAGCUCUACCCCAAAGCUUGGAACGUGGCUUCGCUGGGAAAGAGGUAGGUGACCGUCGCCUUCUCAGCACUUGCCAGGGGUACUUCUGGAAAGCCGAGAAGUGCAGCACCAUCUCAGUCUGCCACGCUUCUGCCUCCUCCUCAGUCAGGCAUGUCUGCAGGGCUGCCCUGCGUGCCGGGGCUUCUCCAGGGCCUCCCCACGGCACCUCCUGGAGUGGGGAGAGGUGUGCAGUGAUCCGUCCGGGUGGUGGCCUGGGGCUGGUGGCCCUUACGUGCUGCUUUUCCUCCUUGUCCACUCACUCUGUCUUCCCUUAGAAUCCUGGGAUCUGGUGCUCCUGGGCCCCAAUUCCCCUAACAGUCCCCUAACUCACAAAGGGCCUCACGAGGGCAUUACCAACCCUCCUGGAAAAAGGCCUGAAAAAUGAUGUGCCGCCGUCCAUUCACGCACAGUCCUCCAAUUAAUUUGGAUGAUGACUCAAAUUUAGUUUUACCCACGUGUAAGAUUAUUUCCAUUUUUCGAUACAUUAUGUUAACUUUGUAGCUUAUGUUUAUUUUGCAUGUACAUUAAAAUACAGAGCAAAUUACAACUAACUAUAUUAAACACAUAUGUUUUCCUCACAGAUUAGUCAAAGCAUAAUGUGCUCUAAGUAUUUUUUUUUAAUUAAAUACUAACUGGGGCUAUCUUUGUGUUUAUUCUUAUCUGAAUUAACUCCUCUCCCCCUUUCUCUCUUCAGAAUUAGCUGCUACCAUGAAUAGAACUGCAUCCUUCCUACAUUUUAAUAUUUUAAUGGUGUUUAAUACAUAUUCAUGCAAUUUAACACAUAGGCUUAUACAGUUUGCUUUUUUCUUUCAACAUUGUUUAAAGAUAUAGCCAUGUUAUUCUAUAGCUUUAUGUAAGUAACCAUAAAUAUUUUUAACCAAGUUGUUGUUCCUCCUAUCAAUUGGUACAUAAGAUAACAUGGUCAGAACUGUAUUAUAUAUGAUACCUAUAUAUAAUAUAGAAGUAUAAGUGUAAUAUGAUAUAUUUAUCCAUUUUUUAUUAACAAAGGCUUAGGUUUCCAAAUUUUUCCCUUAUGAAAAAUAUUACAAUGAACAAUAGUUUACAUUCCUCUUUGUACAUAUGCACAAUGGUUACUUAAGGUGCAUAGCGAAAAGCACAGUCCUUCUGGCAUUAGGUCAUGAGAAUAUUCAAGUUGGCUAGCUAUUUUAUGGAAUAAAAUUCCCAGUAGCAGAAUAUGAGAAGCACCUUUGAUCUACACUCUUCGACUGUCAGAGUUCUGUUGCCAAUCUGACAGAGGUACAGUGCUAUCUAGUUAUGGACUAAGUUGAUGUUUCCCUGCUAACUCUGGGGAUUGGGCAUUUUUCGUAUGUUAAUGGACCCUUUGGGAUUCUUCUCCCGUGAACUGCCAUCUUUUAUCUUGUGUCCAUUUUGCUAGGGAUGCAACGCUGGGAUCGCUGAGCAGUCCUGGCUUCCGAAAAAAAAGAGAAGUCAUUCAAUUCUAUUUUUAUAUGAAAUGAAAAAUUCUUUAAGAUUUAAUAAUCAACAUGAAAAGUCUGAUAACAACUUAAUAAGAUGAAACAUUACAGAACAACAGGAGACCCUGUGAGGCCACGCAGUCAGUGUUAGUGGUCCUGUUUAUUCAUUUUAUGAAAUAAUUCAUCCCAACCUCCUGGAAUUUGUAAAGACAGUUGUCACUAAAUAUGCUAUUAAGGGCAACUGUAUUUAUUGAAGAAGCAUAUCCCAAUUUAUCACUAACUUAAUUAUUAAGCUAACAUUAUCAUUUCUAGUUAAAGAUAUUUUAAACUUAAAGUCUCAAACUGCAGAAAAGGCUUCUACAAACGCAUAAUUGUCAGUUAAAUUUCAGAAUGAGUUUCAUCCUAAGGUGUAUGAUGGAAUUGCAAACCAUUGUCAAGAAAUAUUGGGAAGAACCAUGCUCAAGAGCAACGUGGCAAUAUACUUGGCAUUAAAGGAAAAGAAUCAUUCAUUACAUCACACAAACAUGUUUGUGUUCAUUUCAAACAAAAUUCUCCAAUGUAUAUUCCCCUAAUAUUGUACUCUGGGCUCUCCGUAAGGCAUGUUUAUGCUACUUAGCUUAAAUUCCCUCUCAGUGACCACUUUUUUUUUUAA